rnacentral:rRNA from 1 species
UGCGGAGGGUGCAAGCGUUGCUCGGAAUUAUUGGGCGUAAAGGGUAGGUAGGUGGUCUCGUUUGUCUGGGGUGAAAGCCUUGAGCUUAACUCAAGAAGUGCCUCAGAAACGGCGAGACUCGAGUAUUGGAGAGGGUCGUGGAAUUCCCAGUGUAGCGGUGAAAUGCGUAGAGAUUGGGAGGAACACCAGAGGCGAAGGCGGCGACCUGGACAAUUACUGACACUCAACUACGAAAGCGUGGGGAGCAAACAGG